rnacentral:lncRNA from 1 species
AUGUCGAAAUUUUCGAACGAAAUUUUCACGAAAUCAUUUUGAGAAAUAUUAGACCAUAAAAAUAUAAUAAAAAUAAAUUUUAUUCUCAUUGGAUUUGUUGUCCCGAAACUACUGUUCCAAUUAGGCCCAAAAUCUAGCUGUUACAUGGCAUACCAUCCUCCUCUAAAGCCUUCGUGGGAUACAUACUCUUUACCGCCAUACCAAUCUCUUCUUCAGUAAAACGGGACCACAAAAAAUCAUGCAUGCCAUCAGUAACAUAAACCAGGAUUCCCUUCAAAAGCCUUGUACUAUCCCCUACCCCUCGAAGUAAACAGAUCUGUAAAAUAACUACAUGCAAUCUCCUCAUUUCCCACUCUCACUCGUCCUUCUUCACCUUUAAGCUGCCCACACAUUUAAUCUUCUUGUGUUGAGAAGCUAUUCUAUGAAAAAACCUCAUGUUACGAUCCCCGCUUCUCAAUCAAUUAGCCCUUGCUCUCUAUUCCCAAUAACGCUCUCAUUUGUCGAACUCCAAAUUAAGUUGCAUUUUCGUGAUAACUAGUUCCUCCAAAGUUUUAUUAUUCGGAUAUGAAUUGUAACACCCCUAACCCGUAUCCGUCGCUAAAAUAGGGUUACGGAGCAUUACCGUAAAAACAUAACUUAAAAAUAUUCAUUUUCAAGAAUUUCAUAAAUAAUAGCAUAAUCUAUUCAAACACGUGCAUAUCGUCCCUUGUUCGAGCCAUUGAGACCUUAGAAACACUUUAGAAAUGAUUCAGGACUAAAUCAGAAUCAUAUGAAACCUUAAGGAAAAAGUUAGGAAAAUUCACACUGCAGGGGUCACACGGCUGAGACACACGCUCGUGUCUCAAGCCGUGUAACAUUAGAAAUAGGAACACACGACCGUGUCCCAGCCCGUGCAUGUGCCUGUGUAACUCUCUGACUUGGGUCACAUGGCCAAGACACACGCCCAUGUGCCAGGCCGUGUAACUUUCGAAAUGACCUCACACGCCCGUGUGCCAGACCGUGUGCUAGGUCAUGUAACUGCCUGACUUGGAACCCUUUAAAACCUAUAGGGGACCCACGGUUGAGACACACGCCCGUGUCUUAGGCCGUGUGGACAAGAAAUUGGCCAAAAUCAAGUCAUUUCUUUCACCCAUUUCCAACAAGUACCUACAAGCCAUAUGCACCUAUGAACAAGGUACCAAAACAUGCCAAAUCAUACAUAAUAUGGCCAUUUCAACAUACAAACAAUUCAUUCAACCAAUAUGCCAAUAAGGCACCUCAAACAUAAUUCAUUCAGAUCUACUUAAACAUAUGCAUAUUUUAGCCAUUCAUCAACCACUCACAUCUAAUCUAUUUCCAUACAAAACUUACCACAAUUGACCACAUAUCAAAUCACAACCUAACAUACCAAAUUGGUUAUUCAAAACAUACAUUCACUUAGCCAUAUCAACACCAACAAUCAAAGCAGCAAAGUGCCAAAAGCACACCAACCAUAAUACCAUAUAUACAUGCCAAACAUAUCAACUAGAUCAUCAAACACUAGUCCACCUAUACAUGCCAUUAUAACUAUGACCAAAAUAUCAAAAUCUACCGAUAUAAUCUCCGGAUAGUGUGAUAGGUCACUGACGAGCUUCCGAUAAUCUAUAAAACAUAGGAAAGAAAAGCAACGUAAGCAUAUAAUGCUUAGUAAGUUCGUAAAUCAUGAACAUAGCUUACUAUUUCCAAGCAAAAUAUUAUAAAAUAGACAUGGCACAAGCCUAAGCAUCAUCAACAACACAAGUUAGUGCUUAAACACAUAACUUAACAAAUUCAUCACAUGGUAAGAUAGAUUUUAUGAACAUAGCACAUUUGAAUUCAUAAUUUUUAUAAACAUGGUUAUACAUAAUUUGAUCAUGAACAAUUAUACCUUUCCAUAAGUUCUUAACUUAGCUAUUGGAGCACUUACUAUUCAUUCCUUUUUCAUACCCGUUGAACCACUUAGAAUAAUAUCGGAUACACGAGACGCUCACAUAAAGUGUGUUAAACAUAUGGUGGAAAUCAUUCAUUUUUCUUUCCCUUUACAUCGAUGCUCACUCGAGCCAAAAAUAGGUCUGCUCACACAAGCUGACAGUCAGAAUGUAGCUACAUGAUGCCGCUCACACAAGCUGAUGAGUAUCCACAACAAAUGUCAAAACUCAUCCAUCAGCAGAACAUUCAGCAGCAACACCCAAAACAUGGUAACCCUAAUGACAUGUCAUUUGUAUCCUAUAUAUUCUUAAGGUUCAAACGAGGCUCGAUAGUCGUCAUAACAUUGUUGGAUUUUCAUUGUAACAUGACAUGAUAACUAACAUAAUAGCAUGUAAAUCAAAUAACAUUAAAACGUUAUUUAAACAUACAAACUUAACUCGAUUUUAAAGAUGUCGAAAUAUGAUCACUAAUCUAAGACUUUAUCUUUUCCCCAAUCUGGAUCCGUACAAUGCUUAAAUUGAUCUAAAUAAGCAAUUUUAAUCCAUUUAAUAUUCAUUCUAUUUAAUUCAGUCCAAAAUUUAUACUGUUAAAAAAUUACAUUUUCCCCUAAUGUUUUAACUUCUUUACAAUUUAGUUUUUAAGCUCGUAAAUUAACAUUUAUGCAAUUUCAUCCAUAUAUCAUGCUUGCCGAUUUACCUAGGGACUCAUAUCAACCCACACAAAUCAUCAAUUCACAAUUUUAUCAUGAUAUUUUACUACUUUUACAUAUAGGUCCCUAUAUGAUAAUUUCAUAAAAAAUCACUUCACAAAAGUUGUUUAUUUAACAGCAAGGACUUAUAAUCUUUCAUAAAUUUUCAAGAAUCAUGCAAACAUGUUCAUGGAAAAAUCCUAAACCUUUAAAUGUUUUGCAAAUUAGUCCAUGAGCUAGUUAGAUUAAGCUACAAUGAUCUCGAAAACAUAAGAAUCAUUAAAAAAAAGAAACAAAAUUAUACUCACAUGCAAGCAAAGACUUGGCUGAACCUUGAAACUUAAUUUUCGAUAAUUAUACUCACAUUCUAAGCUUAAUUUUCGAUGGAUGAAAGCAUUUUUGAAAGAUGACAUUUUGUUAUUCUUCAUUUUACUUAACUUAUUUAUUAAUUUACUUUAUUAACCUUUAACUUUUAACUUAAAAAUCAUUUAAUUCAUGCCCAUAAAUGUCCACUCAUAAUAAUAAUGGUCUAGUUACCAUAUAAAUCCCUUAAAAAUUUAAUUUCAUAGCUAAUAGACACCUUUAACUAAUGGAACUAUACUUUUUCACCUUUUACAAUUUAGUCCUUUUUACUUAAUUAAGCAUGCAAACGUUAAAAUUUCUUUAUGAAAUUUUUAUACGACACUACUAACAUACCGUAGACAUUAAAAUAAUAGAAUAAAUAUUUUUAUGUUAUAUUUGUAGUCCUGAAACUACUAUUUUGAUUUUACUGAAAACGGGCUAUUAUAUAAAUUAUUUAACUCAUCAAGCUUCUGCCGUAAUAUGUCCAUGGUCAUUUGUGACAACCUUUGAGUCUCUAGAGCCCAAUUCAUUAAGCCACAUCUUACUUAUUGAAUUUGAUCAGGUAUCUACCCAUUCGAAUUGUUCCAUAAUUAUCUAACUUCUCAUUCACAAGACUCCUUAAGCAAACAUGUAACCUUAAACUGAAACACACACACCCUCUAUUCCUAUCAAUCAACCCACUUAUAGGUAUUAACCAAAAGUGGGAAAUGGUCUGAUAUUGAAUGCACACAAUGCUGAAGACAAUAGUUAGGAAAUAAGUCCUUCCAUCCCGGUGUUGUCACACCCUAUCAAGCCUUUCCUAGAUAUUAUUGUGAACCAAUCUCCCUUGAUCCCAUGUAAACCAUUGGCUUUCAUAUCCCAAAUCCACCAAUUCACAAUCCUCAAGAGCCGACCUAAAAGCCAUCACACUUUGCUCAUCACUCAACCUUCCCCAUUGCUUCUCAUGAGAAUACAUAAUCUCAUUGAAAUCUCCCAUAGUCAGCUACAAUUUCGCACAUUCAAUUGAGAGAUCUCGUAAAUGAUCCCAUGAAUGGUGUUUCAAAUUCUUUACCGGAUGCUUGUAAAACCUAAUAAACCUCUAAUUAGCACAUUUUGUUUCUCAUUCAAUACUAACAUCAAUAUGGCUUAACGAAAAGCUUCGAAGAACCACCCUAGUUCCUUACUUCCAUUCUAAAGAGAAUCCCCCAUUGUGCCAUCACUACUGCCAUCAAUUCCUCCAUCAAGCAUCAACUUCUGUGAACUCUCUCCAUCUUUGAACUAUGCAGCUUCAUUUCCAUGAAAAAAGCUAUAUUGGGAUUAAUUUUCCUCAGCACCUGUCGAAUACGACAUCUUGCCCAAGGGCUUUCCAUUUCCCGGACAUUCCAGCAUAAGAUUUUCGUUACAUCCGAUUACCUUACCCUGCAGAGCCAACCGGCAUCUCAGAAUCAUGAACAAAGACAUGUCCAUCAGUAGUUUCCCCGAAUCCAUUCUACUAGAAACUAAAGAAAAUUGAGUACUACGAGGCCUCUUCUUCCCUUCUCCAGUCUCCAUUGGACAAUCCUCUUCUAUCAACUCCUUAUUCGGAUCAAGAUUCUCCAAAUCCCCAAACUCAAAACUUAAUUUUCCCCUAUAUUCAAUCCUAAAUUAGCCCUCGCUUGCCUUAAAAAAUUGUGUUUCGAAACAACCAUUGUACUACACCAUGCUCCCCGUCCUAACCGUUACCUAGUGUUUUCUUCAAUUCACCCAGGUGUGGCCCCUUCCCCUGAUCCCUUAACCAUGGACUCGACGCAACCAUCGCCCAUUUAGGGAUCACUUUAAUAGAUAGGUCCCAUUCAAACUCUAACUUUUUUUCCAUGAAAUUCUGUACAGCUUCGAAAAAAAAGGAGGUAUACCUCGUGAAGAAGGAAGAAUGGAAGUUUUUCGAAAGACAUUGGAGGAAUGUAAUCUAUCAGAUAUUGGGUUUUUUGGAAACUGGUUCACAUGGGAACGGGGGCAUUUACCUAAAACUAAUAUUCAAGAAUGGUUAGAUAGAACGGUGGCGACAGAAGAAUGGUUACAAAUUUUUCCUGAAUUCCAGAUUCAGCAUCUCCCGCACACGUUUUCUGAUCAUUGUCCUUUACUGGUUAACACCAAAAAGGAAAGAAGAGAGAGAACACAAAAAAAUUUCAAGUUUGAAGCAUGGUGGGAUUUAGAGGAGUCGUUUUUUGAUGAGGUCAAAACCAUCUGGGAACAAUCUGAGGGUGAUUUCUUAUUCAAGCUAAACAGUAUGAAAAGGGGGCUGGAGCGCUGGUCUAGACAAAUUCGAAGUUCAAGAGAAGGAAGGAAAAAGUCGUUACACUCAAAAUUGACCAUAUUACACUCAAAAUUGACCAUAUGACAAAAAUUCAGUAGAUCUAAUCGAUACAAAAAUCCAAUUGAAUUUAGAGAUAGAAAAAGAUGAACAGUAUUGGGAACAAAGAGCAAGGGUUAACUGGAUAAAAUUAGGGGAUAAAAACACAGCGUUCUUUCACAAACAAGCAACACAAAAGAGACAGAGGAACUUGAUUCGUAAAAUGUAGGAUGAAAAUGGAAGAGAAACGAACGAAUUACAAGAAAUGGCAAUGAUCGCCAGAAUGUAUUUCCAACAACUUUUCACCGCAGGCAGAAGGGCUAAUUAUGAGCAUGUUUUAUCAGGAGUUUCUCAAUGUAUAUCAGAAGAAGAUAAUUUGAUGCUUAAAGAGAGUUAUACGAAGGAAGAAAUUCAACAGGCUUUGACAGAAUUAGGGCCCACUAAGGCACCCGAGGAAGACGGAUUUCCAGCAUUAUUUUCCCAGAAAUGUUGGGCAAUUAUUGGAGAAGAAAUAACUAAUUUUUAUCUCAAUCAUCUGAAUGGAGGAAUAGAGAUAGAUCAAAUCAACAAAACAGAUAUCGUUUUAAUCCCCAAAAUAUCAAAUCCAGUGGAUAUUUCACAUUUCAGACCCAUUAGUUUGUGCAAUGUUAUAUACAAAUUAAUGGCUAAAGUUAUUGCGAAUCGACUUAGGAAAGUCCUGGACAAAUGCAUUAAUCCUGCACAAAGUGCUUUUGUGCCGGGAAGAUUGAUUUCGGAUAAUGUGUUGCUGGCCUAUGAACUUCUCCAUACGCUAAAACAGAAGAGAGCAGGGAAGAAAUGAUUUAUGGCAGUCAAACUGGAUAUGAGCAAGGCAUAUGAUAGGGCAGAAUGGAGUUUUGUGGAGGAGGUAAUGAAGAAAAUGGGUUUUGACUCAGAGUGGGUGACUAUACUGUUAAGAUGCGUUACUUUAGUUUCUUAUUCAGUGGUUAUUAACAAUCACAUUGGAGAAUCUUUCUAUCCAACUAGAGGACUCCGACAGGGGGACCCAUUGAGUCCGUUUUUAUUUUUAUUUUGUGGAGAAGGUCUUUCUAGUCUUAUGAAGCUGGGUAUGAUGGAGAAUAGAGUAAGAGGAGUUAAGGCAAGCAAAAGUAGGCCACCGGUUUCACAUUUACUUUUUGCAGAUGAUUGUUUGUUGUUCGGGGAAGCUACAGAGAGGAGUUCAAUUUAUUUAAAACAGAUUCUGCAUAAUUAUGAAGUUUGCUCAGGACAAAAAGUAAACUUUUCAAAAUCCACGAUUUUCUUCAGCAGUAAUUCCCAAGAAGAGGAAAGACGAACAAUUACUCGAGUUCUUGGAGUGCGAAGGUCUGACAAUAUGGAAAGAUAUCUAGGGUUACCUAAUUUGGUGGGGAGAAGGAAAAAGGAGGCGUUCCAGAUUUUGAAAGACAAGUUCAAACAACGAAUUGAAAAUUGGAGCAUCAAGUAUCUUUCACAAGGAGGUAAGGAGAUUUUUAUCAAAGCAAUUUUACAAUCCAUACCAACAUACGCAAUGUCUUGUUUUUUACUUCCUAAAUCUUUAUGCAAUGAGUUAGAGGGAAUUAUUGCAAAGUAUUGGUGGCAGAAAAAUAAAAGGAAAAAAGGGAUACAUUGGUGCGCAUGGAAAGACGUUUGUUUACAAAAAGAGUCGGGUGGUUUAGGUUUUAGAAGUUUUAAUAAGUUUAACGUGGCAUUAUUAGCCAAACAGGGUUGGCGUCUUUUCAAUUAUCCGAGUUAUUUGUUAGCCCGAGUUUUAAAAGCCAAAUAUUUCCCAAAAACAAAUUUCUUAAAUGCUUCUUUGGGUAACCUACCUUCACUCACCUGGAGGAGUAUUUGGGCAUCAAAAAAGCUUUUGUUGGACGGCUUAUGUUGGAGAGUUGGAAUAGGGAACAGUAUAUCGAUAUGGAAUGACCGCUGGAUACCAGGAGUUACUGAAGACAAUUUACAGAACAACAGCAGAAAUGAUGGAAUAAGAUUAGUGUCUGACUUAAUCAACGAAGGAAGUAAAACAUGGAACAGAGAUUUGAUUGUCAAUACCUUUACUAUGGAUAUUGCGAAGAAGAUAAUGCAGAUUCCGCUUUCAAAAUCAAGCCAAGCAGACUUUCAGGUAUGGAGAGGGGAGGCGACCGGAAUCUUCUCAGUAAGAAGCACCUAUAAACUAUUACAGGAGUCUACUAUAGAUCCUAAUGCUUAUUUACAGACCCAUAUAAAAAAAAUUUUCAGGAAACUAUGGAAU